AUUGAACGCUGGCGGCAGGCCUAACACAUGCGAGUCGAGCGGACGAAGGGAGCUUGCUCCUGGAUUCAGCGGCGGACGGGUGAGUAAUGCCUAGGAAUCUGCCUGGUAGUGGGGGAUAACGCCCGGAAACGGGCGCUAAUACCGUACACGUCCUGAGGGAGAAAGUGGGGGAUCUUCGGACCUCACGCUAUCAGAUGAGCCUAGGUCGGAUUAGCUAGUUGGUGGGGUAAAGGCCUACCAAGGCGACGAUCCGUAACUGGUCUGAGAGGAUGAUCAGUCACACUGGAACUGAGACACGGUCCAGACUCCUACGGGAGGCAGCAGUGGGGAAUAUUGGACAAUGGGCGAAAGCCUGAUCCAGCCAUGCCGCGUGUGUGAAGAAGGUCUUCGGAUUGUAAAGCACUUUUAGUUGGGAGGAAAAGCAGUAAGUUAAUACCUUGCUGUUUUGACGGUACCAACAGAAUAAGCACCGGCUAACUUCGUG
rnacentral:rRNA from 1 species